CCUACGGGAGGCAGCAGUAGGGAAUAUUGCUCAAUGGGGGAAACCCUGAUGCAGCAACGCCGCGUGGAGGAUGAAGGUUUUCGGAUUGUAAACUCCUUUUGUUAGAGAAGAUAAUGACGGUAUCUAACGAAUAAGCACCGGCUAACUCCGUGCCAGCAGCCGCGGUAAUACGGAGGGUGCAAGCGUUACUCGGAAUCACUGGGCGUAAAGAGCGCGUAGGCGGGAUAGCAAGUCAGAUGUGAAAUCCUAUGGCUUAACCAUAGAACUGCAUUUGAAACUGUUAGUCUAGAGUAUGGGAGAGGUAGGUGGAAUUCUUGGUGUAGGGGUAAAAUCCGUAGAGAUCAAGAGGAAUACUCAUUGCGAAGGCGACCUGCUAGAACAUAACUGACGCUGAUGCGCGAAAGCGUGGGGAGCGAACGGGAUUAGAUACCCUGGUAGUC
rnacentral:rRNA from 1 species